CCUGCCUUGCUAAACUUACUGAAAGUUACUGCUGGCUGCAACUGUGGACUACAAAUCCCAGAAGCACCUGGAAGCAGGAAGAGGAAGUGGUGGAGAACCCUGCAGAGUCUUGCUGCUGUGAUGCUGGACUGCAAAUCCCAGAGACCUCUGGGGCCGCAGGAAGAGGAAGUGCCAGAGAGCAAUGCUGUAGUGUCCCUGGGCUUCUGGGCUGAGCAUAUGGCUGCGUUUUCUGAAUCAAAGAGCAGGAGGAGGGAGCUUACCAGGAGGCCCAGGAAAGUCUUCCUUGUUAAAGUGAUGCGAACCAGGAACCUAUGGAAAAACAUUGUGAUAUUAUCUGCAAACUCAAGAACAGCGGGGGCCAAAAUGAGAUCAGGACCCCAUUGUGCUAGAUCAUAUAUGCCAAGACAGAGACAAUUCUCACCUCAGACUCGGUGUUUCCUUCCAGCUUCCUGUUGUAUUUCAGUAUUAGCUGGCUUACUCAGCAGUGAUCUCCUUUCUGUUUCUUCUGGGCUGACUGGGUUUGGGAUACACAGCUGGUUUGCAAAAAGCAUGAUGAGUCCUGACGUAAAGAUGCCUAUCACCAAUGAUUUCUAUGUGGACUACUAUACCAUGGCUGGGAUUGCUCUGGCAUCCUGCCUAGCCAUGUACCCGGUUUUUGGGCUUCUAAGGUUAAGGGGAGGACUGCCGCUGUUCAUGGUCCUAAGAGUUCUGGCAUCACUUCUACAGCUUGGCCUUCUCAACUUGUAAGUGAAGACGUCCAAGUGACCUGCACCUAGACCUGGUCAGAACACAUGGUAUUUCAGAGUGGCACGAGGCCCUGAAUCUCUGGCUGUUGUCAGCUAACAAUUUGGGGGAAGGGAAGAAAUUUCAUAAAGAUCUAGUGCAGUGCAGAGAACCAGCAAAUCAUCUGUGCAUGGAGAAUGCUGAUUCACGUGUUGUGCACUCUUAUUGCAGGCAAGAGGGAAUGUAACUCAGUGUUCCUUCCCUUAUCUUCACUCUUUGAAUUAUAGUGAAGCUCUGUUGUUCUUGACACCCCCCCAAAAUCGUCCAUUGUUCUGGGUAGUGUAGCACAGCUCAGUGAGACUAAGGGUAUAGCUACAUGUUAUAACUAGCAUGUACUAACCUUCAGGAAUGGUAAUACCCUCUGCAACGUGCACUCCUCUGACCUGCCCUUAGAGGCCUGAUGGACAGAGGCAUGGCUAAGAGCUGGCAAGUUGACUCUGUGUCUGUCCUGCACACCUACUCUGUAGGGCAGCAUAGGUCUCAGAAACAGGCCAGCGGCCGAGAUCAGGACCUUGACAGUCCGUGGUGAUGCACACUGGGUCCAUCAACACCCCCAUCUGCCCAAACUGAGUCCGACUGCCUCCCACCAGCCCAAAUUGGGCCCACAGCACACCCCUCCCCCCCUUCCCCCUAAAUCACACUGUUCACCCCAGAUCGGCCCCCACUGAUUGCAGAUUCCUGAUCACCCCCCAAAGCUUUCUGCUUACCUGUGCCUGUUGGCACUGUCCUGGGGAGCAGUCAAGGGUAGGGAACCUGUUUAACACUGCCACUGCUGCUGCUACUCUCUGGGCUAGGCUCAGGCCAGAGAGCAGCAGUUGCAGCAACAGGUGUGAUGGCAGCAGCUAGCAGGCGGGCAGCCAGCACAGAUAAACGGGGACAUGAGG